rnacentral:rRNA from 1 species
UACGAGUGCCCCGAGCGUUAUCCGGAAUUAUUGGGCGUAAAGGGUGUGUAGGCGGUCUUGCUAGUCUUCUGUUAAAGCUCCCGGCUUAACCGGGAAAGUGCAGAAGAAACGGCAAGACUGGAGGAUGCAAGAGGCUUAUAGAACUCAUGGUGUAGGGGUGAAAUCCGUUAAUAUCAUGGGGAAUACCGAAGGCGAAGGCAGUAAGCUGGUGCAUAUCUGACGCUGAAACACGAAAGCGUGGGUAGCGAAUGGG